AGUGUUAUCAUUCUGGGGUUAAUGGUUUGGCAAAAAUUAAGAAUAUCAUUGUAUUCUUUGUUGAAGAGAGUAUAGAGAAAAAGACUAUCAUUCAGUCCAGGGUAGAGUUUAAAUUGACAGAAAUUUUGAAAAGCAAUGUGGCAAUAUUUAUUAAAAUUUUAAGUGUGUCAUUGAUUCAGUUCUAGGAAUUUGUACAAACAAAACACUUUCAGAAAUGUGCAAAGGUGAGUGUUCAUGUAUAUUUAGUGAAGGACAUUGGAAAUAGCACAAAUGUUCAUUAAUAGGAUUCAUUAAAUAAAUUAGCAUAUGUCCAACUACCUCUACAUAAUAGUUUUAACAUAUUUCUUAUUAAUUUUUAAAAAGUACAACAUAUGCAGUUACGUUUUCUGUUUAAGGAACAAAAGGACAGUGGUAAACAACAGAGGGUCAAUGGCGGGAGCAGUCCCUGCCUUGGAUUCAGGCAAUAUGGGCAAGAAAAGUGAUACAGAAUUUCAACGCAUAAUUAAACCAACUAAAGGAUAUGGCCAACAGUAACCCAUGGUCCCAUUCUGGACAGCUGCUUCUUUUUCCUGGUAAGAAAAAUCCAUAUCAUGACACAGAAGAGAUGGAGGAAGAAGAGAAAACAAAAGCUUCUUGUGGCUCCAGGCGUUCUUUGAUUCUCCUUGGCUUGUGGCUGCAUCACUGAUUUCUGCUUCCGUGAUCAUGUGGCUCUUCUUCCGCAUGUCUUCUCCCUUCUCUUACAAGGACACUUCGUUGCAUUCAGGGCCCACUCAGGUAAUUCAGGAUGAUCUCAUGCCAAGACCCCUAAUUUAAUUACAUCUACAAAGAUCCCUUAGCCAAGUAAGGUCAUAUUCAUGGGUUCUGGGAAUUAGGAUUUAGGCAUAUCUUUUGGAGAGCCAUCAUGCAAUGCACGACAUUCUAAACAGACUCCAGUUUUCUCAGCUUUAACGGAGACAAUCAAUCAAAUGAUUUUUCUUUUUUAAUUUAAAAAUAAAAACAGUAUUUCUGUCUCAGAAUAAUUCUG